AGGUGUGAUCAUACCAGCGUUAAUGCACCGGAUCCCAUCAGAAAUCCGCAGUUAAGUGCGCUUGGGCUAGAGUAGUACUGGGAUGGGUGACCUCCCGGAAAGUCCUAGUGUUGCACCCU
rnacentral:rRNA from 1 species